UUGAUUUUGGCAACAGAUAUGCUAAAACUGAAAUGAUAUAGAGAAGAUUAAUAUGGCCUUUAUGGAACAAUAAUAUGUUAACUCAUAAAGAGUUCCAUAUUUUA